CCCAGCCACUGCUGCUCUGGCUGCAGACACAGGCAGGCACCAUGAAGCUGUCUCUCCUGCCCUGGGCCCUGCUGCUGCUGGUGACAGCCCCCGGCCCAGGCCCCCGGCCUGCAGCAGGUGCCCAGGGGAGCUGCUCCCACCGUUGUGGAGUCCAGGAUGGGCCGUGCUCCUGCCACCCGACCUGCUUCGGCCUGGCCAGCUGCUGCUCGGACAUUCGGGACUUCUGCCUGGAGAUCUUGCCCUACUCGGGCUCCAUCAUGGGUGGCAAGGAUUUUGUGGUGCAGCAUCUCAACUGGUCCAACCCCAAUGACAGCGUGAUCUGCAGAUUUAAGGAGAGCAUCCAGACCCGUGGCUUCGUGGACUCCUCGGGACGAGUGCACUGUGUGUCACCCUUGCUCUAUGAGACCGGCCGCAUCCCCUUCACGCUCUCCAUGGACAAUGGCUGCUCCUUCCCACGCUCAGGCACCUGGCUGGCUGUGCACCCCAGCAAAGUGUCAGAGUCCGAAAAGAGCCAGCUGGUGAACGAGACCCGCUGGCAAUACUACGGCACUGCCAGCACCCAGGGUAACCUCACCCUGACCUGGAACACCUUGGCUCUGCCCACGAACUCCAUCACCAUAGAGCUGUGGGGCUACGAGGAGACAGGGAAGCCGUACUCCCAGGAGUGGACGGCAGCGUGGUCGUACCUGUACUCCUUGGCCACAAACAUCACCAACUCUGGCUCCUUCACCUUCACACCAAAACCUGCACCUCAGAACUACCAGAGGUGGAAAGUGGGUGCCCUUCGCAUUGUCAACAGCAAACACCACGCAGGGGAGAAGGACGUGCACGCACUCUGGAGCAACGAGCAUGCGCUGGCCUGGCACCUGGGCGAUGACUUCCGGGCAGACCCUGUGGCCUGGGCCCGAGCUCAGUGCCUGGCCUGGGAGGAACUGGAGGACCAGCUGCCCAACUUCCUGGAGGAGCUGCCUGACUGCCCCUGCACCCUGGCCCAGGCCCAGGCUGACUCUGGGCGCUUCCAAGCGGACUACGGCUGUGACAUCGAGCAUGGCAGCGUGUGCACCUAUCACCCAGGGGCUGUGCACUGCGUUCGCUCCGUGCAAGCCAGCCCCCUAUAUGGCUCAGGUCAGCAGUGCUGCUACACGGCGGCGGGCACACAGCUCCUGACAGCCGACUCCACCAGUGGCAGCACCCCGGACCGCGGCCACGACUGGGGCGCACCCCCAUACCGCGUGCCGCCCCGCGUGCCGGGCCUCUCCCACUGGAUCUACGAUGUCAUCAGCUUCUACUACUGCUGCCUCUGGGCGCCCGAGUGCUCCCGCUAUAUGCAGAGGCGGCCCUCCAGUGACUGCCGCAGCUACCAGCCCCCGCGCCUGGCCUCCACUUUCGGGGACCCACACUUUGUCACCUUUGAUGGCACCAACUUCACAUUCAACGGACGCGGCGAGUACGUGCUGCUGGAGGCCUCUGGGACCGACCUGAGGGUGCAGGCGCGGGCCCAGACCAGGAUGACGCCCGAGGGCUCUCAGGACCGAGGCACAGGGCUGACUGCUGUGGCUGUCCAGGAGGGCAACUCAGAUGUGGUAGAGGUCCGGCUGAGGGAUGGGGCUGGGGCCCUGCAGGUGCUGCUGAACCAGGAGGUGCUCAGCUUCAAGGAGCAAAGAUGGAUGGACCUGAAGGGCAUGUUCCUGUCAGUAGCUGCUGGGGACAGAGUAUCAGUCAUGCUGUCAUCAGGGGCCGGCCUGGAGGUCAGCGUCCAGGGUCCGUUCCUGAGUGUGGUGGUCCUGCUGCCCAAUAAGUUCUUGACCCACACACGAGGCCUCCUUGGGACACUCAAUGACAACCCCUCAGACGACUUCACCCUGCGCAGCGGCCAGGUCCUGCCCCCCAGUGCCAGUUCCCGAGAACUGUUCCAGUUUGGGGCUGACUGGGCUGUGGAGAACGCCUCCUCCCUGCUCACCUACGACUCCAAGUUCCUGGUGGAAAACUUCCUGCUCCGGCCCAAGCAUGACCCCAAUUUCCUGCCCCUCUUCCCCGAGGAGACCACCUCCAGCCCCAGCCAGGCGAGUGAGGUGGCCAAACUGUGUGGGGACAACAAUUUCUGCAACUUCGACGUGGCGGCCACCGGGAGCCUGAGUGUGGGCAACGCCACGCGGUUGGUCCACAGGCAGCACCUGCUUCGCGCGCAGAGCCUGCAGCCCGUGGUGUCCUGUGGCUGGCUGGCCCCGCCCUCCAAUGGGCACAAGGAGGGCAUGAGGUACCUGGUGGGCUCCACUGUCCACUUCCACUGCGACAGCGGCUACAGCCUGGCCGGGGCCGAGGCCAGCACCUGCCAGGCUGAUGGCACCUGGUCCCGGCCCACCCCGACUUGCCAGCCAGGACGGAGUUACGCAGUGCUGCUGGGCGUCAUCUUUGGAGGCCUGGCGGUGGUGGUUCUCGUCGCGCUCGUCUACGUGCUCCUACGCCGCAGGAAGAGCAACACAUGUGUUACCGAACCAAACGUGGGUCUGCUCGCCUUCGUGCAGUAAAGCCAACCUACUGACACCAAGUUGUGCUGAAGGAAAGUGCAGCGUUUAUUGCAAGACCAAGCAAGGAGUCCAGGAGGAAUGGCCCUGAUGCCAGCAUUGUUCGUGGCUUAGGACCUGCCAUCUCAACACCAGCAUGAGAAGACGGGGGUCCAAGACUCUCCAGGGCCCCGCUGGUGGAGGAGUCAGCUGGAGGCUUCUGAACACCCAUGAGUCCAAGGACAUGGACCCCAGGCCACAGGCACCAACGGUCCCCAAGGGUGAGGCACUCCGAGCACAGGCUGUAAAGGCUCAGGUCUGAGACGACACAGAGAAGAGGGAGGCUGUGUGACCACGGAGGCUGAAAUUGCAGGGAUGCAGCCACAGGCCUAGGAAUGCCGGCAGCCGCCAGAAGCUGGAAGAGGCAAAGAACAGAUUCUCCCCCAGGCCCCCCCGGAAGGAUUGUGGCCCUGCAGGCACCCUGAUUUUGAACUUCUGGCCUCCAGAACUAUGAGAGAAUAAAUUUCUGUUGUCUGAGCCACCAGGUUUUGGUAAUUUGUGAUACUUUGUUACGGCAGCCACAGGCAACAUCAGGCAGCCCGCAACCCCCCUGCAGGCUGCAAUAGGCUGGGCCUCAGCCCUAGCUGCACACACUGGACCGGCAGCUCACCACCUGCAGAGCCACUGCACCUGUGCCCUGGGCCGGGGUCACCUGGGGGCACUUAGUGGGUAGGUGACGGCAGACCCUUCAGCAGAGCCCAGGCGUGGGCCACACCGGAGGCCAGCUCUAGAACACACCGUCCUGGCCCACUCAGCCCCGUCUUCAGCGUCUGAGGAGGGGGCUGAGCUGGAGGAGGCAGUGGCUACCCAGAGCCUGGCUGGGCCUGGAAUUCAGUUCACGGGCACCGGACCCCCGGGCU